GAUGAACGCUGGCGGCGUGCCUAAUACAUGCCAGUCGAGCGAACGGACGAGAAGCUUGCUUCUCUGAUGUUAGCGGCGGACGGGUGAGUAACACGUGGAUAACCUACCUAUAAGACUGGGAUAUCUUCGGGAAACCGGAGCUAAUACCGGAUGAUAUUUUGAACCGCAUGGUUCAAAAGUGAAAGACGGUCUUGCUGUCACUUAUAGAUGGAUCCGCGCUGCAUUAGCUAGUUGGUAAGGUAACGGCUUACCAAGGCAACGAUGCAUAGCCGACCUGAGAGGGUGAUCGGCCACACUGGAACUGAGACACGGUCCAGACUCCUACGGGAGGCAGCAGUAGGGAAUCUUCCGCAAUGGGCGAAAGCCUGACGGAGCAACGCCGCGUGAGUGAUGAAGGUCUUCGGAUCGUAAAACUCUGUUAUUAGGGAAGAACAUAUGUGUAAGUAACUGUGCACAUCUUGACGGUACCUAAUCAGAAAGCCACGGCUAACUACGUG
rnacentral:rRNA from 1 species